CGACAAAACAAGAUUUGUGUUUUUGAAGCUAUCAUGUGAAAUAUUACAAUGGUUGAUCUCCAGCCAGUAGUAAAGAGUUGUGGCUAUAACGUCUGCAAAGAGAGUUCUUUCACGAAUAUUGGGUUUAACCAGAUGAUUUUGAAUAAAGUUGUGGAGCGGCAAGCUUAUGGGCUGUUGUCGUGUCACGCUUUUUCCGAAAAAUGUCGGUCAAGAGUAUCUGCGGAUUUUGAAAUCUUUUUAGAUGCCGUAAAGUGAUUUUUAUGCCAGAGCAUCUUUUGACAUAAGGUAUUAAUUUUUUUUUAGUUUUGCUUAAUUUAUUUGUUUGGGAAAAAAACUAAUUUGCUCGUAUAGAAUGAAUUGUUUUUGAGAAUAACGUCAUCAAACUCUACAUGUUAGAUAUUUUUAAGGGUAAACGUGCUUAGAAAUCACUAUUUUCAUAACGUUUCUUCAAAAAUUCUUACCCAUCCAGCACCCCUGUUCAAUCCCUAUUCCGUACAACAAAUCAGCAAAAAUACUUGUUUGCUAUCAUUAUUAUUGUAUUGGUGCUGGUCGGUCAACUGAUGUUGUGGGCUUCUUUUAUUUUGUUGCUGACUUAAGGUUUAGGAAUUAUUUUUUGAUGGUAAUUAAUGAUUGCGAACUAGUUUUUAUGCUGAAUUACAUUUACUUUAGAUUUUUUUUUAUUUUUGAAUUAUUUCGUUUCUGAGAACAACGUCAUCAAACUGCAGAAUUACAGGUGUGUAGUUAUGUAAGGUUAGGUUAUGGUUAUGUUAGGUUAUGGUUAUGUUAGGUUACGUUUAAAUCUUUUUCAAUGAAAAUUGUAGAAUUUUUUAAAAUUGCAGAAUCACAGGUGUGCAGUUAUAUAAGGUUUGGUUAUGGUUAUGUUAGGUUAUGGUUAUGUUAGGUUAUGGUUAGUUUAGGUUAUCUUUUUCAAUGAAAAUUGUAGAAUUUUUUAAAAUUGCAGAAUCACAGGUGUGCAGUUAUAUAAGGUUUGGUUAUGGUUA